rnacentral:rRNA from 1 species
UCCAGACUCCUACGGGAGGCAGCAGUGGGGAAUAUUGCACAAUGGGGGGAAACCCUGAUGCAGCGACGCCGCGUGAGUGAAGAAGUAAUUCGUUAUGUAAAGCUCUAUCAGCAGGGAAGAAAAUGACGGUACCUGAGUAAGAAGCCCCGGCUAACUACGUGCCAGCAGCCGCGGUAAUACGUAGGGGGCAAGCGUUAUCCGGAUUUACUGGGUGUAAAGGGAGCGUAGACGGCAGUGCAAGUCUGGAGUGAAAGGCGGGGGCUCAACCCCCGGACUGCUCUGGAAACUGUACGGCUGGAGUGCAGGAGAGGUAAGUGGAAUUCCUAGUGUAGCGGUGAAAUGCGUAGAUAUUAGGAGGAACACCAGUGGCGAAGGCGGCUUACUGGACUGUAACUGACGUUGAGGCUCGAAAGCGUGGGGAGCAAACAGGAUUAGAUACCCGAGUAA